AAUAAUUAAAAUUCAAUUACAACAUACAUUCAAUAUGAAAUAAAUUCAAUUUUGGGUCUUACAUUAGCUUAUGUAAGCUCUAAAGCUAACCCAAGAAAGAGAUAGGACAUAAUUGUAAAAACUUCAAAAUAUGAGAUCAAUGUUGUGAUACCGCUCAAUCCAUGUCGGGACGCUGACAAACAGUUUGUCACAUCACGAUGCCAAGCUAAUCCUCAUGUAGCGUUGUAAUACCCAAUUUAUGCCCAGUUUGUCACAUCACGAUGCCAAGCUAAUCCUCAUGUAGCGUUGUAAUACCCAAUUUAUGCCCAGCCCACAUACAUUGCAAAAACCAAAUAUAUAGAAUAAAUGUCCCAUAAAAUAGUCCAUUUACAAACUGAUAGCCCGAUUAAUCUAACCUAAAUUACCUAAAUACAUUAAGCCUGAUAACACAAAUUACAUCAAACCCACUAGCCUAAAAAACUUUAGCCUAAUGAGCCAAAAACGCAAAACAAGAGCAAAGAACCCUAGCAACAUUCGGCUCCCAGCGUCGCAGCAACCGUACCACGCCUCCACGCGCUGCGCCACGUCCACCCUCCGUACGUCGUACCUGCAAGAAGGACAAGCAAACAAAAAGAGUAGAAAUCGACAGCAAAUAAAAGAAAAAGGACAUAUUUCUUUCGAUUUUUUGUUUUAUCUUCUUUUUUUCAUUUUCGGCUAUAAAGGCCGAUUUAAAAAUCUGUAAGAGGGAGGGUUACAGACAAGAAUAUUGUAUCAAAUCUUUGAAAGAAAAGCAAUAAAAAAUAGUUUUUAAAGGUGAUCUGAAAUUUAUUUUUCCUCGAUUUCUUCUUUCUUUUCUGUUUUCUUCAAGAUUAGUCUGUUAUAUUUCUUAUUUGCAAAAGAGAAAAUAAAGAGAGGAAAGGAGAAGGUGUUUUACCUUCGUGGGUGCGCCGAUGAAGCCUUCUUCUCCUCUGGGCGAAUCGGAGUUGAAUGGGCCAGGGAUUUGAAACGGAAGAGAAUGGGGAAAAAUGAAAGUGGCGUUCACCUUUCCUCUGUAGUUUCAAAUGAAACAUUUAGAUUUAGGUUUAGGUUCUUUUUUAGGUUUAAA
rnacentral:lncRNA from 1 species